rnacentral:rRNA from 1 species
GAUGAACGCUAGCGGGAGGCCUAAUACAUGCAAGUCGAGCGGUAGAGUGACUUCGGUUGCUUGAGAGCGGCGAACGGGUGAGUAACGCGUACACAAUCUACCUUUAAGAGGGAAUAGCCCUGGGAAACUGGGAUUAAUGCCCCAUGGCAUCACGAGACGGCAUCGUUUUGUGAUUAAAGCUGAGGUGCUUAGAGAUGAGUGUGCGUCUGAUUAGCUAGUUGGUGCGGUAACGGCGCACCAAGGCGACGAUCAGUAGGGGGCGUGAGAGCGUGGACCCCCACACGGGGUACUGAGACACGGACCCGACUCCUACGGGAGGCAGCAGUAAGGAAUAUUGGUCAAUGGAGGAAACUCUGAACCAGCCAUCCCGCGUGCAGGAAGAAUGCCCUAUGGGUUGUAAACUGCUUUUAUCUGGGAAGAAAAGUCGGCAUUUAUGCUGAUCUGACGGUACCAGAGGAAUAAGCACCGGCUAACUCCGUGCCAGCAG